GGGGACGAAACAGGCUCGACACGCAUGGUAAAGACUUAUCUUUUGCCCGGCAUUGUACCACCGUCAUCGGGCUAAACUUACAAGUGCCAACGAUAACUCAGAGGUGCUCGCUGUCGCUGCAUAAGCGAUAAGCGCGGUUCGGGAGGGCACCGGGCAACAGAAGCCCUCCCA
rnacentral:tmRNA from 1 species